rnacentral:rRNA from 1 species
CGCGUAGGCGGCCUUCUAAGUCGGACGUGAAAUCCCCGGGCUCAACCCGGGAACUGCGUCCGAUACUGGAAGGCUUGAAUCCGGGAGAGGGAUGCGGAAUUCCAGGUGUAGCGGUGAAAUGCGUAGAUAUCAGGAGGAACACCUGUGGUGUAGACGGCUCUCUGGACAGUAACUGACGCUGAGACACGAAAGCGUGGGUAGCAAACA